GAAAGAUUAAAAUUUAGGUUUUACAAAAAGUUAUUGUAACUUUUAAUGUAAAGAUAACAAUGCAUGUGUAUCAGUGUAUGUUUGUAGUGUUGAGUGUCGUAGUGUGUAGGAGUGUAUCUAUUACAGUGUGUGUGUGUGUAUCUGCCAUGAAUUAUACUGUCCUCACUCUACCUCCAGAGUCUGUGAUUGCUGAGCUAAUUCUGAG